UACGAAGGGGGCUAGCGUUGCUCGGAAUGACUGGGCGUAAAGGGCGCGUAGGCGGCCGAUCAAGUCAGAUGUGAAAGUCCUGGGCUUAACCUGGGGACUGCAUUUGAUACUGAUUGGCUUGAAUGCAGGAGAGGAUAGCGGAAUUCCCAGUGUAGAGGUGAAAUUCGUAGAUAUUGGGAAGAACACCGGUGGCGAAGGCGGCUAUCUGGACUGUGAUUGACGCUGAGGCGCGAAAGCGUGGGGAGCAAACAGG
rnacentral:rRNA from 1 species